rnacentral:rRNA from 1 species
GGGAACGUACCCUUUACUACGGAAUAACGCAGGGAAACUUGUGCUAAUACCGUAUGUGCCCUUUGGGGGAAAGAUUUAUCGGUAAAGGAUCGGCCCGCGUUGGAUUAGCUAGUUGGUGGGGUAAAGGCCUACCAAGGCGACGAUCCAUAGCUGGUCUGAGAGGAUGAUCAGCCACAUUGGGACUGAGACACGGCCCAAACUCCUACGGGAGGCAGCAGUGGGGAAUAUUGGACAAUGGGCGCAAGCCUGAUCCAGCCAUGCCGCGUGAGUGAUGAAGGCCUUAGGGUUGUAAAGCUCUUUCACCGGAGAAGAUAAUGACGGUAUCCGGAGAAGAAGCCCCGGCUAACUUCGUGCCAGCAGCCGCGGUAAUACGAAGGGGGCUAGCGUUGUUCGGAAUUACUGGGCGUAAAGCGCACGUAGGCGGACUUUUAAGUCAGGGGUGAAAUCCCGGGGCUCAACCUCGGAACUGCCUUUGAUACUGGAAGUCUUGAGUAUGGAAGAGGUAAGUGGAAUUGCGAGU